rnacentral:lncRNA from 1 species
GGUGGAUUGUUGGCUGAAAUAAUGAAGAACAUGUGUGUACAAAUGCAAAGGAAAAACACACACACAUGGGCAAAGGAAACACACACACAUGGGCAUAAAAUGGGUUGAUUUGUGGUUGAAAUGAUGGAGGUCAUGUGUGUGUAAAUGUAAAGGGAAAAAACAUGGCAGAAAAUGUGUGUGUUUUGUGGUUGAAAUGAUGAAGCAUGUGUGUGUAAAUGUAAAGAGGAAACAUGCCAACACACACCCACACAAGCUCACAUGCAAAGGAAAUGGAGUGGUCCUCUCCCUAGCUUAUAAAUACAUCCACCCUUCACCAUAACAAGGGGGAAGAAAACCAAAGAGA